GGGCCAGUCACCAACUCCUGAGUCUCGAUUAAGAUGCCGAAAGGAUCAAACACAGUGGAGACAGGCUACAGAGCAACAAGACAGAGUACGUCCUGAAGUUGAAGUCAAUGCUCAAAUCGAAGGAGGGCUUGCUGCUGAAGUCAACACCAUUGUUCUUGACACGCUUGAGCUCUUGGUACAGACGGUGUCUACCUCAGAGUCUCUGCGUGUUGUAUUAAGUGGAAUCCUACGGGUUUUGCUCCAUUCUUUGAACUGUAACCAGAGUGAAAGAGUCCUGCAGAACAUAUUUGCAACGCAAAGAUCAAUUGUC